rnacentral:lncRNA from 1 species
UACAUUAACAGGUGUAGCUACAAGUGGUUCUACCAUAGUCGUUGCGGCGAUCGGUUGCUAAAGAGGAUUUGGUUCAAUAAACGUAUCAUCGUGCACCACGGGUGGAUGUCUAGGAGGAUCCCCAAACUGUGUCAGACUCGUGAAGGGAUGAGAUAUGAAGUAGAACCACUCGAUGUAGUCUACUGCACACUUUCCAGGAGUAAC